rnacentral:lncRNA from 13 species
UCCCAAUAUGAAGCUUGGGGUAAACCCCAAUCAGUUGGUUAUUAGAGCACGUGUUGAUUGAAGAGCUCCCGCGGGCCUUUUCCGUUCGGUCUAGACAAGUGAAUAGAUGUGAAUAGAAGCUUCAUUGUCCAAGACCCCAUUAAGACAUGACAACGAACCAGAGGAAAUGAGUCAGGUAUUAAUCAUAUGGUAUGGUUAGUAGAGAUGGAUGUUGUCAUAGGCCAGGGAAUUUACAUGAUCUCUUUAAUUAGAAUAAAACAUACCUCCGUCUGUGUGUGUGUGUGUGUGUGUGUGUGUGUGUGUGUGUGUGUGUGUAAACUGCAGGUGGUCUAAUCUAGCUCAUGUAGGCAGUCUUGCUUGGUUUUAAGUCAUUUUUAGUCAUUUAGUAGUCUCUCUUUCGAACACACUCGGCACACACACACACACACACACACACACACACACACACACACACACAAACAUAUUUGGAUGCUUCUCUGUCAUUAUAUUUGCCCUUUUAGAGCUGCUGGGAGCAGGACAUAGAUGAAAACAAUCUAUAAAACAGUCAGGGUCCUUCAACUCACAUAUUAUUCAGUCAUGUUUAGUCUAACUAAGCAUAUUGAUUUGGAUGCUGAGCAUUGUUCAGUCUGUCAGUGACCUCACAAAGCAGGGCUGUUGUUUGAGAUUGUUUAGAAUGGGGAUUGUUUAGAAUGGGGAUUGUUUAGAAUGGGGAUUGUUUAGAAUGGGGAUUGUUUAGAAUGGGGAUUAUUUAAAAUGGGGAUUAUUUAAUUGUUUAGAAUGGGGACUGUUUAAUUGUUUAGAACAGGGACUGUUUAAUUGUUUAGAACAGGGACUGUUUAAUUGUUUAGAACAGGGACUGUUUAAUUGUUUAGAACAGGGAUUGUUUAAUUGUUUAGAACAGGGAUUGUUUAAUUGUUUAGAACAGGGAUUGUUUAAUUGUUUAGAACAGGGAUUGUUUAAUUGUUUAGAACAGGGACUGUUUAAUUGUUUAGAACAGGGAUUGUUUAAUUGUUUAGAACAGGGAUUGUUUAAUUGUUUAGAACAGGGAUUGUUUAAUUGUUUAGAACAGGGACUGUUUAAUUGUUUAGAACAGAUACUCAGCAGUCUCUUAGUAAUGUAACAUGCAGGAUUGAGAUAUCACUCCAGACUGGUCCAUUCAAACAACAUAUUCAUUGGAUAUCAUUCCAAAAGGAAGAGACACUAUGGAUGAGAACAAUUAUGUUUAGUUGUUUAUUGGGAUGCAGGAAUAAGCAGUUAAUACAGUAUUUAUGUUUCUAUAGGCAAUUGUUGUUUGUCCAUUAUGGAUCUGUACCUAGGGAAAUGAAUUGAUUGCUCCACGAGUAUGAUUCUGUCAAACAAUCUGCAUGCUGCAACAACAAAAAUCAGGCAAAACUGAUUUCACAAGACCAAUUCCACACACACACACACACACACACACACACCUCGGUCAACUCAAUGCCCGUGAUCAGAAACUAAGGGUCAGUUUGGACUGAAGACGAAGGUAUUCUUCUUUAGCCAUAUGAGCAGGAUAAUGAUGUUUGUUUUGGCUCAAGCGGGUUAGAGAUGAAAGAAUACUGCGAAGGAGAGUAUGGGGGCACAGGAGGAGGGAAGGAGGGAGAGAGAGCGAGAGAGAGAGAAGGGAGCGGGGGCCCAGGAGGAGGGAAAGAGGGAGAGAGAGAGA